GGUUGAUACUCAAAGGAAUUGACGGGGACCCGCACAAGCGGUGGAGCAUGUGGUUUAAUUCGAAGCAACGCGAAGAACCUUACCCAAUCUUGACAUCCUUGGGGGGCUCUAGAGAUAGAGUCUUCCCCUUCGGGGGACAAAGUGACAGGUGAUGCAUGGUUGUCGUCAGCUCGUGUCGUGAGAUGUUGGGUUAAGUCCCGCAACGAGCGCAACCCUUAAGCUUAGUUGCCAUCAUUAAGUUGGGCACUCUAGGUUGACUGCCGGUGACAAACCGGAGGAAGGUGGGGAUGACGUCAAAUCAUCAUGCCCCUUAUGAUUUGGGCUACACACGUGCUACAAUGGAUAAUACAAAGGGCAGCGAAUCCGCGAGGCCAAGCAAAUCCCAUAAAAUUAUUCUCAGUUCGGAUUGUAGUUUGCAACUCGACUACAUGAAGCUGGAAUCGCUAGUAAUCGUAGAUCAGCAUGCUACGGUGAAUACGUUCCCGGGUCUUGUACACACCGCCCGUCACACCCCGAGAGUUUGUAACACCCGAAGCCCGGUGGAGUAACCUUUUAGGAGCUAGCGGU
rnacentral:rRNA from 1 species